UACGUAGGGUGCAAGCGUUGUCCGGAAUUAUUGGGCGUAAAGAGCUUGUAGGCGGUUUGUCGCGUCUGCUGUGAAAUUUCGGGGCUCAACCCCGAACUUGCAGUGGGUACGGGCAGACUAGAGUGUGGUAGGGGAGACUGGAAUUCCUGGUGUAGCGGUGAAAUGCGCAGAUAUCAGGAGGAACACCAACAGCGAAGGCAGCACUCUGGGCCGGUACUGACGCUGAGGAGCGAAAGCCAGGGGAGCAAACGGG
rnacentral:rRNA from 1 species